AGCCAUGUUGUGAGCACAAAGCUUACUAUUCUUUCGCCUUUUACUAAAGAAUACCGUGUGCUCGCUACUAUAAGUGGCAUUCUUAUAUUUUUGGAAGGUGGCCUUUUAAUAGGUCCC